GAUUGUUAAUUAUUUACUGUUCAAGUCUGAUUUGGGUAGUGUGUAUACUAAUAUGGUAAUUGUUAAUGUUAGCGUGUAUACUAAUAUGCUUUUAUAUUGAAGGACUGACAAAUUCCCUGUAAAGAACGACAAAAUUAAACUUGCAUUUGUAUUUUGGUCUGUCCCAAUAUCAUCAAAAAUGUGGUUCUACAAAUUAAAGACUCCUGGAUAGUGGUUAGACGACGAUGUGAGUUCUUUUUUUUCUUCAAUAUAUGGUGUUCUAGUUAUGGUUACAUUAUUUAGUUGGUUUAGUAACUAAUGUUAACAGUGCUGGUUACAUUCAUUAUAGAUUUACAUUUUUCAGCAACUGUUAAUAUCUUAUGGAUUUU
rnacentral:lncRNA from 1 species